rnacentral:lncRNA from 1 species
GUGUGCAGAACUAAAUAUAAACUAUAAAAUAUAAAUGCAAGUUUCAAGGAUUUUAGAUGAGUUGAGGUAAUCAGUCAAUUGAAAUAAAUUAUUUAGGCCCUAAUCUAUGGAUUAGGGCCCACCCACUUGGAUUUAGGCCUACCCACUUGGGAACCAGGCCCAGCCAAUAAGAAUUAGUUUUUCCCUCCCAAAAAGGGCUUUAUUACAGACAGAAAUACUCGACAGUUUCAUCAGCUGCCCGGUUGGCUGGUCUCAGAUGAUCCCGCAGGUGAAGAAGCCGGAAGUCGAGGUCUUGGGUUGGUGUGGUUACAUGUGGUCUGCGGUUAUGAAUCCGGUUGGACAUACUUCCAAAUUCUCGAGACCCGUAAUCAUCCACAAUGGCAAAACAACAAGGCACAGGUACUCACACAACCAACGGACAUUGUAACAAUAAUCGACAGGACAAUGGGGAACAAAGGGCACACGUAUACAAUUACUAAUCAAAUGGGAAUAGGGACCAUGUGUGCGUAAUGACAGUUCCGGAGGGAUCCGUGACAGCUACAUGUUUUAAAGUGGCCUUUUAUUGUCCCCAGCACAAGGUACACCUGUGUAAUGAUCAUGCUGUUUAAUUACUUUCUUGAUAUGCCACACCUGUCAGGUGGAUAGAUUAUCUCGGCAAAGGAGAAAUGCUCACUAACAGGGAUGUAAACACAUUUGUGCACAAAAUACGUUUUUUGUACGUAUGUAACAUUUCUGGGACACUUUACAUGUUGCGUUUAUAUUUUUGUUCAGUAUAGAAAGAAAAUAGAAAAAUAACAUUUGCGAGACAAGGUGAAGAAAGGAGAGAUGAGAUGAGGGAAGGAGAGAUAAGGAGAGAUAAGGUGAGGGAAGGAGAGAUAAGGUGAGGGAAGGAGAGAGAAGGUGAGGGAAGGAGAGAGAAGGUGAGGGAAGGAGAGAUAAGGAGAGAUAAGGUGAGGGAAGGAGAGAUAAGGUGAGGGAAGGAGAGAGAAGGUGAGGGAAGGAGAGAUAAAGUGAUGGAAGGAGAGAUAAGGUGAGGGAAGGAGAGAAGGGGAGAUAAGGGGAGAAAAGGUGAGGGAAGGAGAGAUAAGGAAAGGGAAGGAACUCUACACCUACCCCACUGGGCACGCACGGGUUUAAUAAACAUUGGUUCAACGUCAUUUGUCAACCUAUUUUGAUGUGGAAUCAACGUGGACAACACAUUUGGAUUCACAAAAAGUAAUCAACCAGCAUUGUAACCAUUGACAUUUGGGUAAAAUUUCAACUAAAAUAGAAUGACUUCUUAAACAGAUCAGAGACCAGGCUACAAUCUUGCAUCUUUAGAGCAAAGAGCUUCUUCAAAAAGAAACUCAACAUUGCUCUUAUGGUCUUAGCUGAAACAGACAACAAAAGGACAACCGUUGGAAGAACUAGGAACAAUCUACUCCUACUGUAAUUUGUAACUCUAUGCAUUCUGUGUGUUCAACUCCUCCGUGAAAGAACCAAUAGAGAUGAUGUAAACUAAAGAAAGCAUUGUUCAACUUUUUUCUCCUCUGUAGUCAACUGUAAAUAAAUUCAAUAAAAUAGUUUUUUUUUCCUGUAUUUCCAUUGUGUGGGUCUUUGUUGUCAGUAAUAUAUUAAUAUAUGAAGAAUAUAUAGUUAUCUUUUUAAGAAACUAGAGCCUUAGUGUGGAUUAGCCAUUGAGAUGUAUUAGAAUGGUAAACAUAAAAAAACACAGUUUUAACCUAUGUGCUUUAUUACAUAUUUACAUGUAUGGCGUAUUUAUUACAGAG